rnacentral:rRNA from 1 species
AGGCAGCAGUGGGGAAUAUUGCACAAUGGGGGAAACCCUGAUGCAGCGACGCCGCGUGAGUGAAGAAGUACCUAGGUAUGUAAAGCUCUGUCAGCAGGGAAGAAAGAAAUGACGGUACCUGACCAAGAAGCACCGGCUAAAUACGUGCC